UGGGGAAUAUUGCACAAUGGGCGCAAGCCUGAUGCAGCCAUGCCGCGUGUAUGAAGAAGGCCUUCGGGUUGUAAAGUACUUUCAGCGGGGAGGAAGGUGUUGUGGUUAAUAACCUCAGCAAUUGACGUUACCCGCAGAAGAAGCACCGGCUAACUCCGUGCCAGCAGCCGCGGUAAUACGGAGGGUGCAAGCGUUAAUCGGAAUUACUGGGCGUAAAGCGCACGCAGGCGGUCUGUCAAGUCGGAUGUGAAAGCCCCGGGCUCAACCUGGGAACUGCAUCCGAAACUGGCAGGCUUGAGUCUUGUAGAGGGGGGUAGAAUUCCAGGUGUAGCGGUGAAAUGCGUAGAGAUCUGGAGGAAUACCGGUGGCGAAGGCGGCCCCCUGGACAAAGACUGACGCUCAGGUGCGAAAGCGUGGGGAGCAAACA
rnacentral:rRNA from 1 species